GGGCAAGCGUUAUCCGGAUUUACUGGGUGUAAAGGGAGCGUAGACGGAAGAGCAAGUCUGAUGUGAAAGGCUGGGGCUUAACCCCGGGACUGCAUUUGGAACUGUCAGGCUAGAGUGUCGGAGAGGUAAGCGGAAUUCCUAGUGUAGCGGUGAAAUGCGUAGAUAUUAGGAGGAACACCAGUGGCGAAGGCGGCUUACUGGACGAUGACUGACGUUGAGGCUCGAAAGCGUGGGGAGCAAAC
rnacentral:rRNA from 1 species